GACGAACGCUGGCGGCAUGCCUAACACAUGCAAGUCGAGCGAGUAGAUCCCUUCGGGGUGAAGCUAGCGGCGGACGGGUGAGUAACACGUGGUCAACCUGCCUCAUAGAGGGGAAUAGCCUUCCGAAAGGAAGAUUAAUACCGCAUAAGAUUGUAGCUUCGCAUGAAGCAGCAAUUAAAGGAGCAAUCCGCUAUGAGAUGGGCCCGCGGCGCAUUGGCUAGUCGGUGAGAUAACGGCUCACCAAGGCGACGAUGCGUAGCCGACCUGAGAGGGUGAUCGGCCACAUUGGGACUGAGACACGGCCCAGACUCCUACGGGAGGCAGCAGUGGGGAAUAUUGCACAAUGGGGGAAACCCUGAUGCAGCAAUGCCGCGUGAGUGAUGACGGCCUUCGGGUUGUAAAGCUCUGUCUUCGGGGACGAUAAUGACGGUACCCGAGGAGGAAGCCACGGCUAACUACGUGCCAGCAGCCGCAGUAA
rnacentral:rRNA from 1 species